GGGCAUCACGGUCCUACCGACAUGUGAUGUCAUGCCCAGAGGCCCAGCUGUAAAAUUCCUCUCUUUAUACUGCUGCCUUUAUUUCUCAGCCGGCCAACACUUACGGAAAAUAGAACCUACAUUGAAAUUCCUGUUUCCACUCUGGCUGGUGAGUCAAUUGCUCAAUUACUUUUACUACCUAAUAUUGUUUUAAACAAAGGAGAUAAGACACGGGGUCCUAGGAUGGGCUCUGACAGUGAAAAAGCCACUUAUUGGAUUAAUGUAAUUUCUGAACAACAGCCCACCUGCACCAUACACAUUCAAGGAAAAAAGUUUAAGGGCCUACUAGAUACUGGGUCUGAUGUUUCUAUUAUUUCCUCUAAUUUAUGGCCUUCCUCCUGGCGUAAACAUCCCACUAACAUAUAACUAGCAGGGAUUGGAAAAGCUGAUGAAGUUCACCAGAGCACAUUUAUCUUGCCUUGCACUGGCCCUGAGGGUCAAAAGGGUAAAAUUCAGCCUUAUAUCAUGCCAAUCUCCACUAAUAUUUGGGGUAGAGAUUUGCUGACACAGUGGGGGGCUGAAAUUAAUAUUCCACAUAACUCUUACAGUGCUCCCAGUCAAAAUAUAAUGGAAAACAUGGGGUUUGUUCCCGGACUCGGUCUCGGUCCAAGACAUGAAGGAAUUACUAAACCUCUUCAAGUUACUGUAGAAGAGGGCUGGUUUAGGUCAUCCUUUUCAAUGACAGCCACUGCUAUGCCUCCCUACAAUGAAAAUCUGAAACACCUGUUUGGAUUGAGCAGCGGCCGCUCUCUCAAGAAAAACUGGAGGCUUUAACUCAAUUGGUUGCUAAACAGUUACAACUUGGAAAUGUGGAACCUUCUCUCUCCCCCUGGAAGUCUCCUGUGUUUCUAGUAAAAAAGAAAUCAGGCAAGUGGAGGAUGGUAACUGAUUUAAGGGCCAUUAAUGCUGUAAUUAAACCUAUGGGAGCUGUCCAACCCAGGAUGCCUGCCCCUGCUUUAAUACCUAAGAAUUGGCCUCUCAUAGUUACUGAUCUUAAAGACUAUUUCUUUCAUAUUGCUUUACAUAAAUCGAAUUGUGAAAAAUUUGCUUUUACUGUACCAUCUAUCAAUAAUCAGGAGCCUGCAGCUCGUUAUCAAUGGAAAGUACUUCCUCAGGGAGUGCUGAAUAGCCCUACCAUCUGCCAGCUUUAUGUUGGACAGGUGCUUUCACUACUUUGAGCUCAAUUUCCCCAGGCCUAUAUUCUUCAUUAUAUUGAUGAUAUAUUAAUCGCUGCCCCCACUGAUAAAGAAUUGACUGUUAACAAUUUUUGAGCCAUUGUGUUAAAGAGGCUGGAUUACACAUCGCUCAGGAUAAAAUUCAACAGACCACUCCUGUUCAAUAUUUAGGAAUGGUGUUCAAUAAAGAAUAUAUUCAACCUCAAAAGGUUCAGAUUAGGAGAGAUUCUUUGAAAACCUUAAAUGAUUCCAAAAACUUUUAGAUAACAUUAAUUAAGACCUACUUUAGGCAUUUCAACAUACGCGCCAUCUAACUUGUUUUCUAUGCUGUGUGGAGAUUCCAAUCUCUGCAGUCCCAGGACUUUCACCCCUGAGGCUUCACUAGAACUGGAAUUCAUGGAGUAAAGAAUCCAAACUGCCCAGUUGUCUAGGGUACAGCCGUCUCAGCCUUUUCAGCUUCUGGUUUUCGCUUCAUUGCACUCCCCUACUGGGCUAAUAGUUCAACAUAAUGACUUAGUGGAGUGGUGUUUUCUUCCUCAUUCUGUGUCAAAAACUUUGUCUGUUUAUCUGGACCAAAUGGCCACCCUAAUUGGACAAGCUCGGUGUAGAAUACUUAAAUUUUCCAGAUUUGAUCCGAAUUUAAUUGUGGUUCCUUUAAAUCAACUCGAAGUUCAGGCCACUUUUCAACAUUCCAUACUGUGGCAAAUUCACUUGGCUGAUUUUAUCAGUGUUGUUGACAAUCAUUAUCCAAAAAAAAAAAAACUGUUUGAUUUUAUAAAAAUGACUUCUUGGGUGGUCACUUGAUUGACCAAAGAUCAGCCCAUUCCUGAGGCCAUUACAGUGUUCACUGAUGGCUCCAGUAACAGAAAUGCUGGUUAUGUGGGUCCUACAGACAAGCUUAUUUCUAACCCUUAUACCUCUGCUCAAAAGGUAGAGUUAAUUGCUGUAAUUAUUGCCUUACAGGAUUUCCCCAAACCUUUAAAUAUUGUCUCUGAUUCUGCUUAUGUUGUACAUGCCACUAAAAAUAUAGAAACCGCUACUAUCAAACAUAUUGGUAAUUCUGAAUUGGCUUCUUUAUUUUCAAGGUUACAACAGGCGGUUCGCCAACGUAGACACCCUUUCUAUAUUACACAUAUUAGAUCUCAUACCACUCUACUGGGACCCAUGUCUGCUGGUAACGAUAAGGUCGACUGGUCUCUAUUGCAAUCCGAGAAGCUCAGGAGUUCCAUAAUCUCACUCAUGUCAAUGCUGCUGGAUUAAAAGAUAAAUUUGCUCUCACCUGGAAGGAGGCUAAGCUUAUUGUCCACCACUGCCCUCAGUGCCAAGUUUUUGUACUUCCAAAUCAGGAACCUGGCAUUAAUCCCAGAGACCUAACUCCUAAUGAUUUAUGGCAAAUGGAUGUGACUCAUGUUAGCUCCUUUGGCAGAAUUUCACAUGUACAUGUUUCUGUAGACACCUUUUCAGGUUUUAUUUGGGCUACUUGCCAAACGGGAAGGCACAGCCAAUAUUAAAAGACAUCUGUAUUCUUGCUUUGCAGUUAUGGGGCUUCCAUAUCAAAUAAAGACAGACAAUGCCCCUGGAUAUGUUAGUAAGGCUUUUGAUUUAUUUAUGCAACAAUGGGGAAUUUCCCGUAUUACCAGAGUAACUUACAAUCCUCAGGGACAAGCUGUGGCGGAACAGGCCAAUUGCACUUUAAAAACUCAAUUGUCCAAACAGUCUGAGCAACAAAAGCAUAAUUUAACCACUCCCCACUCCCAGUUACAUUUAGCAUUGUUUACUUUAAACUUUCUAAAUGUUCCUAAAGACAUACUCUGACUGCAGCUGAACAGGCAAAAAAUUCUCCCUAAAUGAAGGCAAGCCAGUGUUAGGGAAAAACUCCCAGACCAAUACCUGGGAAGCUGGAACAAUUACAACGUGGGGAAGAGGGUAUGCUUGUGUUUCACCAGGAGAUCAUCAAUCCCCUGUCUGGGUGCCCACUAGGAGACUUAAACUUCGUGUGAAUACUGACAAUAAAAACCAUAGGGAAGAGACGUCUGCGUCAGAGACCACCUUCAUACCUGGAAAAGUAUAAUGUUGGUUCGAGAUCAAGAAGGAAUCUGGAUACCAUGUGCCAGACCAGUCAAAGAAUCCUGUGUCAAAACUGGGAGAACGAACAAGCCUUCAUCGCCAUGGCACAUUUAUAUAAAAAGAAAGGGAGAGAUGUUGCGGGAAGUCAGGGACCCCAAACGGAGGGACCGGCUGGAGCUGCGGCAGAGGAACAUAAAUUGUGAAGAUUUCAUUUUAAUAUGGACAUUUAUCAGUUCCCAAAUAAUACUUUUAUAAUUUUUUAUGCCUGUCUUUAAUCUCUUAAUCCUGUUAUCUUUGUAAGCUGAGGAUGUACGUCACCUCAGGACCACUGUGAUAAUUGUGUUAACUGUACAAAUUGAUUGUAAAACAUGUGUGUUUGAACAAUAUGAAAUCAGUGCACCUUGAAAAAGAACAGAAUAACAGCGAUUUUUAGGGAACAAGGGAAGACAACCAUAAGGUCUGACUGCCUGCGGGGUCAGGCAGAAUACAGCCAUAUUUUUCUUCUUGCAGAGAGCCUAUAAAUGGAUGUGCAAAUAGGAGAGGUAUCGCUAAAUUAUUUUCCUAGCAAGGAAUAUUACAUAUUAAGACCCUAGGAAAAGAAUUGCAUUCCUAGGGGGAGGUCUAUAAACGGCCGCUCUGGGAAUGUCUGUCUUAUGCGGUUGAGAUAAGGACUGAGAUACGCCCUGGUCUCCUACAGUACCCUCAGGCUUACUAGAGUGGGAAAAAACUCCGCCCUGGUAAAUUUGUGGUCAGACCAGUUCUCUGCUCUCAAACCCUGUUUUCUGUUGUUUAAGAUGUUUAUCAAGAUAAUACGUGCACCGCUAAACAUAGAACCUUAUCAGUAGUUCUGCUUUUGCCCUUUGCCUUGUGAUCUUUGUUGGACCCUUAUCUGUUGUGGGAAGUCAGGCACCCCGAACAGAGGGACCAGCUGGAGCCGUGGCAGAGGAACAUAAAUUAUGAAGAUUUCGUGGACAUAUAUCAGUUCCUAAAAUUAAUACUUUUAUAAUUUCUUAAGCCUGUCUUUACUGCAAUCUCUGAACAUAAACUGUGAAGAUUUCAUGGACAUUUAUCACUUCCCUAAUAAUACUCUCAUAAUUUCUUAUGCCUGUCUUACUUUAAUCUUUUAAUCCCGUUAUCUUCGUAAGCUGAGGAUGUACAUCACCUCGGGACCCUGUGAUGAUUGCGUUAACUGUACAAACUGAUUGUAAAACAUGUGUGUUUGAACAAUAUGAAAUCAGUGCACCUUAAAAAAGAACAGAAUAACAGCGAUUUUAGGGAACAAUGCAAGACAACCAUAAGGUCUGACUGCCUGCGGGGUCAGGCAGAAUACAGCCAUAUUUUUCUUCUUGCAGAGAGCCUAUAAAUGGACGUGCCAAGUAGGAGAGAUACCACUAAAUUCUUUUCCUAGCAAGUAAUAUUAAAUAUUAAGACCCUAGGAAAAGAAAUGCAUUCCUAGGGGGAGGUCUAUAAACGGCCGCUCUGGGAGUGUCUGUCCUAUGCGGUUGAGAAAAGGACUGAGAUACACUCUGGUCUCCUGCAGUACCCUCAGGCUUACUAGGAUUGGGAAACACCAGCCCUGGUAAAUUUCAGGUCAGACUGGUUCUCUGCUCUCGAACCCUGUUUUCUGUUAAGAUGUUUAUCAAGAUAAUACGUGCACUGCUGAACACAGACCCUUAUCAGGAGUUUCUGAUUUUGCCUUGUCCUGUUUCCUCAGAAGCAUGUGAUCUUUGCUCUGCUUUUUUGCCCCUUAAAGCAUGUAAUCUUUUCCCUGUUCAUACACUCCCUCCCCUUUUGAAAUCCCUAAUAAAAACUUGUUGGUUUUGAGGCUCA